CUCCCUGUGGCUCAGUUGGUAGAGCAUGGUGUUUGCAACACCAGGGUAGUGGGUUCGAUUCCCACGAGGGGCC
rnacentral:tRNA from 1 species